CCGGGUAUUAGCGCCCUCGUAGCUGAAGGGGGGUUCUUGUGCUUGGUUGUUCUGUGGGGUUGGGGGGGUUUCUGCUCACGGCUGAGGUAACCCGCCCCGUCGUGCCCUACCGCCGUUCCUCGCUGUGUUCCUCUAGGCGCAGGCGGUGACCGCCGCCCGCUGUCAGAUACCUUCUCUGAGCGCACCUGGCCGGUAGCCGUGCCGGGCUAAGCCUGCUGCUCGGCCUGGCCCAGCCCCGCGCUAGGCGGAAUUUUGGAGGUGAGGCCGGGGGGGCUUCCACGGAGCUCUCCUUCAGGUGCUGCCGUCGCAGGAGUUGGAAAUUCGAGGCAAAACUCAGAGUAUGGCUUCAAACGUCCGCCGUGCAAACACACCUAAGCAAGAUUUACUUCUGUCACCCUUCAAAUGAAACAGGUCAGUUGAGAGGCUGCUAUAAAAACCAGAAAUGUGAGCACCUACAAUUGGUAUGAAGUAGUCUGCUGCAUGCAGUAUUUGCCAGCAUUUGAAGAAAGUCUUUUGACUCCUGAAGAGAGGGAAGCUCUCAUGAACAGAACUAUGGUAAAAUGUAAGGACCCGAGUGAGUGCGUAGGGAUCACUGCAGCCCUGCAGCGGAUGAAUGAUUGUGAGCGGGUUCCUGAAAAUGCCGUAGUAACAAUCUGAAGGUGCAUCUCCCAGAGAAGCAAAUUUUCAGGUGCAUGAGAAGAAUGAGAAGAAUUAGAAGAUGUGUGAGUGGAAUGACUCCAGAAGAUUGAGAAAAGUGACACAAUCGUACUGAGUUAGAUACAGUAGCAAAGUACGUAGUAUCUUCAAAUCCUGGACUAAAGAUUUUGUCUUAGCUCCAAGCUGGUGCCAGAGAGGAUCUAAGUAGUGACGUAUUGUCUAGAAAUAUAAAUUAAAAAGUUCAGGAUGGCAAAUAUUUAAUAUACUAACCAAGGUAA